rnacentral:rRNA from 1 species
CCUACGGGUGGCAGCAGUGGGGGAUAUUGGACAAUGGGGGCAACCCUGAUCCAGCCAUGCCGCGUGUGUGAAGAAGGCCCUCGGGUUGUAAAGCACUUUCAGUGAGGAAGAACGCCUGGUGGUUAAUACCCAUCAGGAAAGACAUCACUCACAGAAGAAGCACCGGCUAACUCCGUGCCAGCAGCCGCGGUAAUACGGAGGGUGCGAGCGUUAAUCGGAAUUACUGGGCGUAAAGCGCGCGUAGGUGGCUUGAUAAGCCGGUUGUGAAAGCCCCGGGCUCAACCUGGGAACGGCAUCCGGAACUGUCAAGCUAGAGUGCAGGAGAGGAAGGUAGAAUUCCCUGUGUAGCGGUGAAAUGCGUAGAGAUCGGGAGGAAUACCAGUGGCGAAGGCGGCCUUCUGGACUGACACUGACACUGAGGUGCGAAAGCGUGGGUAGCGAACAGGAUUAGAUACCCCUGUAGUC